GAGUUUCCCUCUUGUUACCCAGGCUGGAGUGCAAUGGCAUGAUCUUGGCUCACUGCAACCUCCGCCUUCUGGGUUCAAGCAAUUCUCCUGCCUCAGCCUCCCGAGUAGCUGGGACUAGAGGUGUGCACCACCAUGCCCAGCUAAUUUUUGUAUUUUUAGUAGAGACGGGGUUUCACCUUAUUGACCAGGAUGGUCUCGAUCGCUUGACUUGUGAUCCACCCGUCUCAGCCUCCCAAAGUGCUGGGAUUACAGGCAUGAGCCACCAAGCCCGGCCCAGUUUUUAAUAUCUUAAAGGAGAUAAUGUGAAAAAAUAUCCUUAUAAAACUUUUGAAAAAUAGGGUUCAAAACCCUUCAUUUCUGGCAAUAAGAACCCUGAAAGCCUCCUAGAAAUUUUAGACAAGAUAUUAGAGUAUCCUUUUAAUUGCCUAGUAGAGCUUAGAGGAAAUAAAUACCGCUGGCUUAGAAAGAAAAUCUAGCUAUAUGCUGUUUACAGGAGAUGCAUCAAAAACAUGAGACAAAAAUCAUGGAAAAGUAAUAAGUAAACACUAAUCAAAAGAAAGCUGAUAUAGUUUGCUAAUAUUAGAUAAAAUAGAUUGGAAGACAAUAAACAUUAUUGGUGACAAAGAUAGGCUGUAUAUAAUAAACAAUGGAAAAUGAACAACGACUUAGGGGAAUGACUCUAAACUUGUAAGCCCCUAGAAACAUAGCUCCAAAACAGAAAAGCAAAAAGAAAAAACAAGAGGCAAAUUUGGGGAGAAAAUGACAAAUUAGAAAUAUAGCAAGAGCUUUUAAUGCACCUUUCUUGGUAAUUGGUUAAAAAAUUUGGAAGAGAUAUAAAAUAUUGGAACAAUACAACUAUCAAACUUACUCUACCAGAUACAUUUGGAAAUGUUCUUCUCAACAAUUAGAAAAAUCACAUUUUUUGAGCAUAUAUGGGAAAUUUAUAAAACUUGAUUAUGUUCUAACCCACAAGACAUCUCAACAAAUGCUAUGAUGUGAUAUCACACAAACUGUGUUAUUUGACUACAAUAUAAUUUAGUUAGAGAUAAUUAACCCCCCCAAUCACAUGCUUCUCCCCAUAAAUCUGGGUGGAGGGAAAGGCAUUUCUAAAUAACUCAUUAAUCCAAAAAGAAAUCAUAUUGUAAAUUUUUGAUUAAUUACUACAUUUUAAAACUUUGUGUCAUGGAGUUACAGUAAUACUCAGAGGAGAACUGACAGUGUUAAAAUACUUAUAUUAGUAAAGAAGAAAGACCAAAGCUUGAAGAUUUAAGUGUUCAACAAAAGAAGUUGAAAAAGAAAAACAGGAUAAGACUAAAAAAAAAAAAAAAAAAGAAGGAAAAAUGGAAAGAUAAGAAGGAAAGAAAGGGGAAAGGGUGGCGAGAUUCUGAUCCUAAUACCACCUGAAAAAGGCCACAGCUUGUUUACUAAUGAGGAGAAACAUCCUCCGCGGCAAGUAUCUUCCCUGCUCAGCUGAUUGUCAUGUCUCCUCUGAGGGCCUUUUCACUGCCUCUGUGUUCCCUUUGCAGGGGGCUAGCCAGGUGUUUUCUUCCUCUCUGCAGCCUUCCUCUCUUCCAGCCUAGGUGCUCUGCAAUUCCCUUGAGUGACUUUUCUCCUUCUGCAGUUACUUGUGUAUUUCGCCUUUUAGACUAGAUUGUAAAGUCUUUGAGGUAGAAACAAUAUAUUUCUCAUCUCUGCUCCCCCACAAGCCAGGACCUUGUGCAAAAUAGCUACCUGGCAUCUAGAUGUGUUUGAAGUGGAAUUGAGUUUGUAGACCGAGCUUGGGCUUAUAGGCACGCAGGAAGAAAGGUGGAAGUGAGUUCGGACUCUUCCAGAUUUGAGAAUCUGGUGAUCAUUCAGAAUAAGCUACCUUCAGUGCAAGGGGGGCUUUCCUGAUAUGUGGGCCAUGAUUUUGUGGCUAAGAAACUAAAGAAAACAGAAAGAACGGACAAAGGAAAAAUUUCCUAAGCCCUCUUUGGAGAGGAAACACAUCCCUUCAGCUGCUGGUUUUGUAGAGGCACCUACUCUAUUUCUGAGUUCUGAGUCCUGUCUGGCAGCACUGGCCGAGGAGUGGUUAGGGGUAGGAUACGUGAUUUUGGAGUUGGGUGCUAAUCCGGGCUGAAGUUCCCCCACUACGUUUUUUUGGUGUGGUAAAAUAUACAUAACACUUGCCAUCCUAACCUUUUUAAGUUGUAUAAUUCAGUGGCCUUAAAUAUACUCACAUGUGAUGCAACCACCACCACGAUCCAUUCCAGAAUAUUUUUAUAGUCCCAAACAGAAACUCUAUCCCCACUGCCUUUUUUCUUUUUUCAACUGUGCAACUUUGGUCAAGUUGCCAGUUCCUUCAUCUGUAAAUCGGGGCUAAUUGUAUCACGUACCAAAUAGGAUCCUUGUCAGGAUUCAAUGAUGUAAUGCACGAAAACUGCUGAACGUGGCGCCUGGUGCUGUGUUUCACUGACAGCACGUUGAAUAAAUGUUAAUAUAAGAAAUAGCAAGCGGAAAGAAAAUUCAAAUCAUUUGAAGCCAGCAGAGGGACAUAGUACAUUUUCUCCCAACUCUGAAUAAUUUGAACUAAUGAUGAGUCCCUGGAACGCAUCUGGGCAUUUUGAUCAGGCUUCACUAGAACUCUGACUGUUGGCAAAUGACCUCUCCAAGGCUGAAAGGUGUCGGGCUGGAGGAGGUGAUUUCUAAGAUUCCUUCUACCACCAGAACCGUAUCUAGCGUGUCGCGGAAACUCAAGCUAAUGCUUGAGUGAGUGAAUGAGUGAAUGUCUACAGACACACUUCAGUGCCUGAAGGGAGGAUGGGUAUCAUCUUCUCUUAGCCAUCAGUUUAUCAAUGAGAAGACUGAGAUCCAAAUAAGUAGAGUGACUUAUUCAAGGUCACACAGUUAGGUGUAGAGCCGUUUAAGAAGCCAAGAUUCCUGAACACAUUGUGCAAUCUUAACUUGAAACAGAACCCAGAGAAAUGGGAGAAAAACCCGAGAAAACCUCAAAAGUUCAUGCAGCUGCUAACUGAGAGCUGAAGUCUCGAAUGUUCAGUGUCAUUUUCCCUUCUCUGUCUGUACAUUUGAUCCAAAGUGUUGCAGAUAAUUGCUUUUUGUUAAGGAAAGAGCAUCCCCUUCCCUUUUAGGAGCAAUGGUAACUCUUUUAAAACCAGAAUUCCUAGGGAAACUAGGAAUUUUUUAGGGGGGUGAGUUUAAUUAAAUUAAGGUCAAAUAGCUUCACUGUUUCACCUUACCUAGGUUCAGACUGCUUUCUGGCCAGGUAUGCAUAGUAAUACCUCACAAAGCCGUGGCAAGGCAUUAAAUGACAUAAAGAACGUGACAGUGGUUUUCACACAGCCUGACAUAUGGAUAGCGGUCAGCAAAUAUAUUUGUUGCAAGAAAAGGAGGAUAUCAUUGAUGAAACACACUCUCCAGCCCUAUCAACAGCCCACCUGACUCUGCUGGGAAGGCUUGCUGGUGCCAUAUACACUGUGUUUGCAACGUGACCCAGAGAAUAACCUCCGGGGAGGAGGCAGCCAUUAGGACUGGAGCAAUUUAUAGCAAACACGUGCUGCUGUUUUGCUGCGGUGCCCCAGGUUGCCGUUACUCAGAAAUGGCUUCCUAUGUUUACUGGAAACACUGGGACAUGUCUCAGUGACACUCAUGCUGCAACUGCAGGUUUCAGUCUCAUGCCCUGGGAUACAGGUCACUUGGCACAGAGGCAGUCACCGCUUACCCAUGUAAAGCAAUAGGAAGAAUCCUGUACAGGGAAUCAGAGCACUGGGUUCUAGAGCUGGUCACUUACAGGCUUUGUAAUCUCACGGCUUUACCUCUCUGAACCUCAGAAUGCUCUUCUGUGAAACAAGGGGCUUGCAUACCUGAUUUCUGACCCCUUCCAGCUUGAAAACACUAUGAUCUAUUUAGUUAUUGCCCUCACAGCUUUGCCGGUAUUGCUGCUCAGUGAAGUGCCAUACAUGUGUACCAUCACACACACACACACACACACACACACACACACGCACGCACGCACACGCCCUUCUAGACCCAGAUUCUUCACUCAGGGAAACAGCACGAAAACCUGAUGCCCCAGUGAAUAGCCAGUUUACUCACCACCUUUAGAAUGACAUAGCCCAGCUGCUUCUGGGCUAGAACCUCAUCCUCCUUGUGACUCGGUGCCUCUGCUGCCAAAUGAGAGAUGAGGUUUCACCUUGUUGCCCAGUCUGGUCUGGAACUCCAGGAUUCAACUGAUCUGCCUUUAUGGUUAAGGGAGCCCCAAGAGAUGACUUUUAUAGUCAUUUGAUCUGAAAGAAGGAACAUGUCAGUUUCUGCCUGCCUGAAAUCGGCCUUACAAGAUUCAUGCCUGCCACUGGCCCUCAAAUGAAGGGACAAGCUGCCAGCGGCGGUCACAGGUUACUGAUCCUGCAUUUGGGGAUGUGGGCCUGAGAGGGGAGCCUGGCCGCUCAGUGACAGUGGCCUCUGCCUUUCAUGUCCCCUUUCUGUGCACUGCUAUGUGCUCAACUGUGUCCUCCUAGAGUUUGCAUGUUGAAUUCCCAACACUCAGGACUGUGACCGUAUUUGGUGAUAAGGGCUUUAAAGAGCUGAUUAAGUUAAAAUGAGACCAUUAAGGUGGACCCUUCCAAUGUGACUGUGACCUUAUGAGAAGAGGAAGAGAUGCCAGAGGCACAGCACCAAGGGCUGACUGUGGAUGAGGCAUCAACAAGAGGGCCUCAGAAGAAACCAAGCUUCCCAAUCCUUUACCCAGACCUCCAGCCUCCAGAACUGUGAGACAAUACAUUUCUGUUGUUUAAGCCACCAAGUCUGUGGCACUUUGUUAUGGCAGCCCAAGAAAACUAAUAUAUGCACACACAUGCUUAGAUGCAUGCAUGUAGCCACAGCCGUAGAGGCACACACAUAGAGACACAAACAGAUAUCACCCACAAAGCCACCAUGCAGACCUGUGUUCACUGCCAUACGCACUGCCAGGCACUCGCUCUGCUGCUAGCAGGAAGAAAAUACAAACAGAGAUUGUAAACUCAAUCUCAGCCUGGUUAGUGGGCAGUAUCUCACAAAGGGUAUAAGAGCGGGAAAACAAGCACGAACAAUGGUGCAAUUCAGAAAAGCGGCAAGAGGGCUGAAGCUGAGACAGGAAAAUGGCCCAGGCUGGUGCACAGGAGAGUCAUUUAGUGCUUCUAUGUGGUGAGGAAUAUUUACCUUACUUGAAGCUGAUACUGUCAACAGUUACCACAGAACAGGAAUUUUGGGGAACACAGAGCUUGCAGGCAGAGGUACUCCGAGAGAGACAGAAAGCCACAGUCAUCAUGUAGAAGAAAAAGCCAGCCCUGAAAUGGUGAAUUAUUGACAACUGGGCAUUCGGCAGAGAGCACUGGAGGGAAAGUAGGCACUCUUCUAUAACCACAGCAGACGCAGCCACUUUCUAAAAUCCAGGGCCAAGAGGCAGAUAUUUUCUGCAAUUUAUAAUAAUGACACUGAUAUCAGGAAGUAACCAUUCUGGCACAGACUGGCAUGGAACAAGAACAGCCUGGGACACAGAGACUGCAGAGGCUGGAUAACAUGGGAAGAAAAUGAAUCCUAUGGGAGGAGACAAAGGCAACUCCUCGUCACAUCUGACUACGGGGCUUCACCAGCUCCUUAAUGCCGGGAGACUGGAAGUGAAUAUCAGAAGCCUAUGCAUACUUCUUAUUGUUUGUAGGAUUAUGUCCACAUUAACUGCAUAAUGAAGCAUGUGUAAUUGUCAUUCUAUGGCGCACAGUUAUUGACUGGCAAACCAAUGUUUCUGUUAUCUUCAUAUUGCCUUGAGUUAGGGAGCCUCUCCAGGGGUUCCCAAAGACUGAUCUGUGAAGCAGCUGGGAGCUUCUGACUUCUGCAGGCACCAUUUGGCCCCUGAACAUUGUCCUAAGGGAAGACAUUCCUAGCAUGGAGUCCUCCUGUCUGUAUGUGCUACAUGUGACUCAGCUCUUGUUUCCGAGUUGAUAAUCGCUGCAGUUUACUGCCUUGAUAUGUUUCUAGGUUCUCUUAUUCUUUUUGGUCUCUCCAGUGCUUUCUCAGUACGCCUAAAGAUCUCAGGAGACGUAACACAGGGGUGGGAAGACAUAAACAGUACCAAGAACUGAGUUCCUCCACUGGGUUUUCUCUGAAUAGAAGGAGAAGGACAAGAAAACAAGAGAGAAGGCAUAGAAACAUAUUUUUUUGGUGGGUUGCCACUGCCAAAAAAUUACUCACAUUUGUAAUUCCAGUACUUUGGGAGGCCAAGGUGGAUGGAUCACAAGGUCAGGAGUUCAAGAUCAGCUUGGCCAAGACGGUGAAACCCCGUCUCUACUAAAAAUAAAAAUAUUAACAGGGCAUGAUGAUGGGUGCCUGUAAUCCCAGCUACUCAGGAGGCUGAGGUAGGAGAAUUGCUUGAAACUGGGAGGUGGAGAUUGCAGUGAGCCGAGAUCAUGCCACUGCUCUCCAGGCUGGGUGUUAGGCUAGUCAUGAUUAGGCUAGUGAUGGGAGCUGGGGAGAGGCCAUUUGCACUGCCCAGGCAGAGUGGCCUGGGUGCAGGACCAGAGGGCACCUGCAUCUGUCUGCAGGCCUGCAGGUGCCCCGUGAGGUACUUCCCUUCAAGCUUAGUAAAAAAUAUAUUCUUUCAAGUUGUCCAGAUGCUCCCUCCAGUGUUUACAGACCCUGGUGCAGAUAAAUUGCUUUGCUAAGAGGACAUGGGUUAUUUUUCUCUGCAAAUUCUCUUUUGUGGGAAACAGGAGGGGAGGACAUAGGAAAGCUGGGUAAGGAUAGGCUUAUGUUCUGUGGAGUGAGCACCAACUGCCUUUUAUUUUUAGUUUGUGGCUCUGGGGCCUGGCUUCUGAGACACAAUAUUGCUCUAGUUCCUCAAGUUCAGAGUCACCACUGGUUUUCUGGAUCACUUCAGAUGGGUCCUUUCUCUUAGCCUCUGUUUUGACAUUGGUGAAUUGGAAAAUUCCAGGCCAUUUCUUUGUGUGUUCUUCACGGGGGUAUGGAACAACCAUUAAGGCUGUGUUCUAGAAAAUAACAUAGUUAUUUCAGGGCGGAAAGUCUAGACUUAAUUUUCUGUGAUGAUUUUAUCGAUUCAAAAGGCCACUUGAGAACAUUUUCACUUUGGUCCUCUCUGUUCCAUACGACAGAACUCCAGUCCAGAGUCAAGUCUGCCCACACCCCACCUUGUGACACUUGGCUGUUUCUACCAGCCUUUGUUGAAGUGUCUUGUCAAGUCUGAAAUCUUAGACCUUUAGGCUCCUGUGCACACCAUUCAACAAUGAUUCCAUGUAGAUUUGACUGUAAUUAAACCUGCUUUUCCUUUACAGUGUUGUAAGAUUGACAUUCAAGCAGCAUAAGUUCUGAUUUUUCCCUUGACAGAUUAUUUUCUUUAUUCAGGUAAAGCCUGUGUUCUAUUUUGAAUGCUGGGAGAAUAGAGAUUUUCCUUUUUUCCUUCGGAGUUUGAAGCAAUUAGAGCCACAAAUUAAUUUUUCACAUUAAGAGGAAUGUUUUUUCUUCUGAUCUGCACCUGCUCAGCCCCAUUUCCGGUUAUUUGGAGGCUGCUCCUCUGAAGAAGAGGAAAUACUUAUGUCGGGACGGAGGGAAUCCCUAAUGGUUAAUCAAUAACUGUGGAGUUUUUCAGAACUCUAAAGAGACUCGGCACAGUGUUGGGAUAAACCGUGGGAUCACUUAGUGGUGUGGGGUUCCUGGAAAGAUCCAGAAUUGAUCAUCAAAUAUCUCCACUUAAAUGUCUUUUAGUCACUGAAAAUUCAAAAAUAAAUUUAUUUUUCUCCCUCA